rnacentral:rRNA from 1 species
CACGUAGGGCGCGAGCGUUGUCCGGAAUUAUUGGGCGUAAAGAGCUCGUAGGCGGCUUGUCGCGUCGACUGUGAAAUCCCGCGGCUCAACUGCGGGUCUGCAGUCGAUACGGGCAGGCUAGAGUUCGGUAGGGGAGACUGGAAUUCCUGGUGUAGCGGUGAAAUGCGCAGAUAUCAGGAGGAACACCGGUGGCGAAGGCGGGUCUCUGGGCAGUAACUGACGCUGAGGAGCGAAAGCGUGGGGAGCGAACAGG